ncrna:unclassified sequences RAGATH-18 RNA
ACUGUGGAGUGUACAAGAACUUGUGAGUAGUAUCUGUAUUUAUUCAGGGCGAAAGCAUAUACAGAGAAGCAGUAA